GAGUGAGUGACUUUAUUUGCAGGACAGCACGGAAGCGUCGUGGAUUGGAACAUCUGGCGGCGUCUCUCCACGCCACACCACUCGUCCAGAAUUUGCAGGUCAGCCGACCUUGACAGUCGCAACAACGCAUCAUGUCGGCUCCACAGAGCUGGAUGGCCAGAUUAACAGGCUGGAGAUGAUACAGGAUGCUGGAUAGAGCCCACUCAGAGCUGCUGAGCUAUUGCAUAUUUCGUUUGGGUGGGCGAUGCCAAAUCCGUCGCUCACCCCAAAUUUAGCCCAGUAGACCGUCGUGGGCGUAUCGUCUUCUUGGUGAGUAUGUGUCUGUAACUUUUAAGCAGAGCUUUUGAUUUUAUGUUUUUAAUUUGCAGAACGACACAUCAGCCUCGUAGUUUGGAAUACAUCUAGUGGCGUCUCUCACACGCCACACAACUUAUCCAGGAAUUUCAGGCUGACGAGGAGCAUUAGGUUUUGGAAACGUCGUGGGUUGGCACAUCUGGCAGUGUCUCUCACACGCAACCCCAUUCUUGCAGGAUUUGGAGGUCAGCGACUUUGGCAGUCGCAGAAACGGAUCAUGUCGGCUCCUCAACGUUGGAUGGCCUGAUUAACAGGCCGAAGCCGAUACAGGAUGCUGGAUGGAGCCCACUACAGAGCCCAAAUUCAAUACGUGGCUCAGUAGACCGUCGUAGGCGUAUCGUCUUCUUGAUAAUUUUCCGAAAUUUUUGGACCUAUUCAAUGGACGUACCAAGAAGACAAAGCCCCCAUCCAUACAGACCGGGUUACAAAACAGUGGAUUAAGGGCCAGAAUGUCAACUUGCUCGAGUGGCCGCCAUACUCCCCAGACAUAAAUAUUAUCGAGAACAUUUGGGGAAUUUUAUCCAGGAGAGUGUAUGAAGGGGAAGACAAUUUCAGGUCUCGGCGACCCUGGUUGAAGCGAUAAAAAAAGCCUGGUCAACUAUUUCACUGAGUGAAAUUGAAAAAUAUUACGAUUCCAUAUCAACUCGAAUGUUUGAAAUAAUUAAGAAUAAGGGUGGUCAUACCAAAUAUUAAAUAAUGCAGAAAUAGUGUCUUUUAUUAUUUAAGUUACCAAGUGCCAUGAAAUAUUGCUAUGAAUAAUUUUUUUUUAUAGUUUUGUCGGUCAAACCUGUUCACUUGAGCC